GAGGAAACAUUUUUUGUAAAUCAAGUAAAACAGGACCGAUGUAGCUACGUUUUCAAUAUUUAGAUCCAGAAAGCAUCAUCUAAGGAGGAGUUUAUGGAGGCAGCCAUAGAAACAAGUGAUUUGUUAGAAAGAUCAGGCUUCAUCAAACUAACACAAGAUUCCUCUCAAUCGGCAGACUACACAGUUAAAGAGUACCACAUUUUCUACAGGUGCUUUGGCCAUCAUCAUUAGACAGUUCAUGGAUGAAGGCCGGAUCAGCUCAACUGUAAUAAACAUUUCCACAGAAACUGUUUAGGAAGACAGCAUGCAAGUUACCCUUGGGCUGGUGUUACAAGCCUUUGUUGGUUGUCCAGGAUUACCAAGCCACAUUUUAUCUGGACUAAUAGAGUUCAAUCAUAACAGUUCAGCUUUGAGCCAUGUCAACACUUGUGCCACUAGUAUAACUUUUCAAAAUACAUCAAAACUGAUGAAAUUUGAAGAUUUUGAGCGGACAAUGCUGGAUAUUAUUUUUGGAUUUGAAGGCUUUGGCCAAGAGUAGUGAUCAACUAUUAAAGUUAAUUGUUACCGAACCAGAAGUAUUUUUAUGCUCCCCGAAGUGAGAGCAUUUAUUCUCCCACCUCAGAUAAGUAGAUCCAUUAAUUUAACCAUGCUAGAAAUUCUUAUCUUGCCCACGGGCGAAGAUAAAAUGCCCGUAUGGAACUUUUUUUAAUGGUUACCACAUUGUAAUUACCUCCCUUGUUGAAGACUGUCGUCUGUAGCGCACCAUGGAAACCUUGUCUUGUGGCAAUAUUUAGAACGCGAGUUAAUUAUUUCUCGCUUCAAAUGUCACCAGAAAACAGUUUUCACGCACCUUUCAAGAAAUAAUGCUUCACUCUUCUUAGAACUAUUUAAAGACCGAUCAGACCAUUUACAUACUCUGUAUCACUGCGCGAAUAUCCAUGACAAC